ACCGUUCGGCAAUAACUGCCCCCAACCGGUCCUCAACUGCCUCCAACUGCUCCUGUCCCUGUCGGUUCUCUACCCUGAAGCCAAGGCUAAGCCCUUUAACUGACCGUCCAUACCGUGGCUGCACCAUCUAACCAAACCACCAUAACCGUUCUUGUAACCGCCCCAACCGUCCCGGACAUGAGAACUCGGCCCAGCUGAGUUGAGCUGACUGCUAGCUGGUCCCAGCUGAGUGAGCUAGUCCUUCUAGCUCCAUGAGGUGAUGCAUACUAACUGAGCCCCCAUUGAGCUUCCC
rnacentral:lncRNA from 1 species